rnacentral:rRNA from 1 species
UACGUAGGGGGCAAGCGUUGUCCGGAAUCAUUGGGCGUAAAGAGCGCGUAGGCGGCCCGGUAAGUCCGCUGUAAAAGUCCAGGGCUCAACCCUGGAAAGCCGGUGGAUACUGUCGGGUUAGAGUCCGGAAGAGGCGAGUGGAAUUCCUGGUGUAGCGGUGGAAUGCGCAGAUAUCAGGAGGAACACCGAUGGCGAAGGCAGCUCGCUGGGACGGUACUGACGCUGAGGCGCGAAAGCGUGGGGAGCGAACAGG